AUGUCUUCGGACCAAACGGGGCUUCGGCUCCGGCGCAGAGAGAGGCCCAAGUGAGAUUAGCUAGUUGGUGAGGUAAAGGCUCACCAAGGCGACGAUCUCUAGCUGUUCUGAGAGGAAGAUCAGCCACACUGGGACUGAGACUCGGCCCAGACUCCUACGGGAGGCAGCAGUGGGGGAAUAUUGCACAAUGGGGGAAACCCUGAUGCAGCCAUGCCGCGUGUGUGAAGAAGGCCUUCGGGUUGUAAAGCACCUUCAGUUGUGAGGAAAAGUUAGUAGUUAAUACCUGCUAGCCGUGACGUUAACAACAGAAGAAGCACCGGCUAACUCCGUGCCAGCAGCCGCGGUAAUACGGAGGGUGCGAGCGUUAAUCGGAAUUACUGGGCGUAAAGCGCACGCAGGCGGUUUGUUAAGCUAGAUGUGAAAGCCCCGGGCUCAACCUGGGAUGGUCAUUUAGAACUGGCAGACUAGAGUCUUGGAGAGGGGAGUGGAAUUCCAGGUGUAGCGGUGAAAUGCGUAGAUAUCUGGAGGAACAUCAGUGGCGAAGGCGACUCCCUGGCCAAAGACUGACGCUCAUGUGCGAAAGUGUGGGUAGCGAACAGGAUUAGAUACCCUGGUAGUCCACACCGUAAACGCUGUCUACUAGCUGUUUGUGAUUUUAAAUCGUGAGUAGCGAAGCUAACGCGCUAAGUAGACCGCCUGGGGAGUACGGCCGCAAGGUUAAAACUCAAAUGAAUUGACGGGGGCCCGCACAAGCGGUGGAGCAUGUGGUUUAAUUCGAUGCAACGCGAAGAACCUUACCUACACUUGACAUGCAGAGAACUUUCUAGAGAUAGAUUGGUGCCUUCGGGAACUCUGACACAGGUGCUGCAUGGCUGUCGUCAGCUCGUGUCGUGAGAUGUUGGGUUAAGUCCCGCAACGAGCGCAACCCUUGUCCUUAGUUGCCAGCAUUAAGUUGGGCACUCUAAGGAGACUGCCGGUGACAAACCGGAGGAAGGUGGGGACGACGUCAAGUCAUCAUGGCCCUUACGUGUAGGGCUACACACGUGCUACAAUGGCAUUUACAGAGGGAAGCGAGACAGUGAUGUGGAGCGGACCCCUUAAAGAAUGUCGUAGUCCGGAUUGGAGUCUGCAACUCGACUCCAUGAAGUCGGAAUCGCUAGUAAUCGCAGGUCAGAAUACUGCGGUGAAUACGUUCCCGGGCCUUGUACACACCGCCCGUCACACCAUGGGAGUGGGAUGCAAAAGAAGUAGUUAGUCUAACCUUCGGGAGGACGAUACC
rnacentral:rRNA from 1 species